GUGUUAUGAUCUUUUGAAAGUCAUGUGCUAUGCAUGCACAGCGUAGCUUGCAUACAUCUUCCUUGCGCAGCUUUGGAGGUGUGUGGAGGAAUUCCCUGGCUUGGAAGACCACGGUGUGGUCAGCAACAGGCUGGCAGACAGACAUGCGGCAGGAGGAAGCGCCACACGGCUAUUGCUGCUCCCCUUGCUGGGUGCUGCUGGCUCGCUCACGUCUCUUCCUAUUGUGGAGGUGAGAGAGUUUAACUGGUCAUGUCCCAAGCCCGAGGUCCACCCCUUCCCUGAGUUUUGCUGAAAUCUUUCCAUUUGGGUUUUCUUUCUCUCUGGUUGAUGCUAAAACAAACACUGUUUCAGGAACAUGCUCAGACUCCAUGUGGAGAGAUAUUGCAUGUGGAGAGGAAGCCUGAAGAGGCAACUGAGGCAGAAUUAGCAGAGACUUCUGAAGCUGACGUGCACCUGUCACGCUUUCAGUGUCUUUAUCCCCAGGAAGGAAACGGAGUAUGGCUGCGUCAGUCUCUAAUAGGAGGAAGAGGAAAUACAGGAUUGUUUGCUAUAAAUGAGGGAGCUGUUAUUGGUUUGUGUUUCCCCGUCUCAGCUUGUUCAUACUUGAGCAGUGGAUGGGCGUCAGUGCUUCUGCAUUUGGGCAUGAGGCUGCCUGUGCAGGUACUGGAGUUGAUUGCAUGUUUGUAGCUGAUUUUAGAGAUUUUGUGUAUGUGUGUGUGUGCGUGUGUGUUUUAUGAUGUUUAUAUGGAUCUCUGCCAGAUUUCUAAGAAAUAAUCUGUCGAGCUUUUUCCUGUGGCCCUGAUAGAUGUUUGCAUUAUCUUUUGGGUUUGGGAAGAGUGAAAUGCUAGGUGGGGCUGGGUGUGUGAGCAAAUCAGAAACGACCAAAAAAACCCUGACUUUUAUCACUUUCUUGUGAAAUUACAAGUCACUUUCUGUUGUUUUAGAAACAUUUCCUUACAGAUGUCUUCAGAAAUUAUCAGAGAUGAAGACAGAACAGUAAUUCUAAUUUACCGAAGGCUACAUAAAAGAUGGAGAAAGCAAAUGCUGUGAAGAAAGCAAACGGUAGUAUUUUAUUUGCGUUUGUUUUCAUUUCUUACUCCCUGCAAAGCUGAGUAAGGGGAAAAGUGAAAUUUUAAUUCUGCACCUAAUUUUCUGAACUCAGGUGCAAAUAAAAUUGUUUUCAACUUUAAAAGCGUGAAAUGU
rnacentral:lncRNA from 1 species